UGUUCGGCGAUCCACUUGCGGCGUUGGUUAGGAUAGGACAGGGGAUGCCAAGGCUUCUGGUUGAGAUAGGAAUGGCUCCAAGCAGUACCAGCUUUGGUUUUGUAAUCAACCUCACUACCAUUCUUGUCAUUGAAUCUCUUGCUCAGCCUUAUCCCUCCUCCUUCUUCUCCUUCCAUUUUCUUCUUCUUCUUCUUCCUUCUUCUCCU
rnacentral:misc_RNA from 1 species